rnacentral:rRNA from 1 species
AUGCCGGAUGCUCCAGUUGAUCGCAUGGUCUUCUGGGAAAGCUUUCGCGGUAUGGGAUGGGGUCGCGUCCUAUCAGCUUGACGGCGGGGUAACGGCCCACCGUGGCUUCGACGGGUAGCCGGCCUGAGAGGGCGACCGGCCACAUUGGGACUGAGAUACGGCCCAGACUCCUACGGGAGGCAGCAGUGGGGAAUAUUGCACAAUGGGCGCAAGCCUGAUGCAGCGACGCCGCGUGAGGGAUGGAGGCCUUCGGGUUGUAAACCUCUUUUAUCGGGGAGCAAGCGAGAGUGAGUUUACCCGUUGAAUAAGCACCGGCUAACUACGUGCCAGCAGCCGCGGUAAUACGUAGGGUGCAAGCGUUAUCCGGAAUUAUUGGGCGUAAAGGGCUCGUAGGCGGUUCGUCGCGUCCGGUGUGAAAGUCCAUCGCUUAACGGUGGAUCCGCGCCGGGUACGGGCGGGCUUGAGUGCGGUAGGGGAGACUGGAAUUCCCGGUGUAACGGUGGAAUGUGUAG